GACGAACGCUGGCGGCGUGCUUAACACAUGCAAGUCGAACGGAAAGGCCCUGCUUUUGUGGGGUGCUCGAGUGGCGAACGGGUGAGUAACACGUGAGUAACCUGCCCUUGACUUUGGGAUAACUUCAGGAAACUGGGGCUAAUACCGGAUAGGAGCUCCUGCUGCAUGGUGGGGGUUGGAAAGUUUCGGCGGUUGGGGAUGGACUCGCGGCUUAUCAGCUUGUUGGUGGGGUAGUGGCUUACCAAGGCUUUGACGGGUAGCCGGCCUGAGAGGGUGACCGGCCAAAUUGGGACUGAGAUACGGCCCAGACUCCUACGGGAGGCAGCAGUGGGGAAUAUUGCACAAUGGGCGGAAGCCUGAUGCAGCAACGCCGCGUGCGGGAUGACGGCCUUCGGGUUGUAAACCGCUGUCGCCUGUGACGAAGCGUGAGUGACGGUAAUGGGUAAAGAAGCACCGGCUAACUACGCG
rnacentral:rRNA from 1 species